rnacentral:rRNA from 1 species
AAGACCUUGCGCUUUUGGAGCGGCCGAUGCCUGAUUAGCUUGUUGGUAAGGUAAAAGCUUACCAAGGCUUCGAUCAGUAGCUGGUCUGAGAGGACGGCCAGCCACACUGGGACUGAGACACGGCCCAGACUCCUACGGGAGGCAGCAGUGGGGAAUUUUGGACAAUGGGGGCAACCCUGAUCCAGCCAUGCCGCGUGAGUGAAGAAGGCCUUCAGGUUGUAAAGCUCUUUCAGCCGGAACGAAACGGUUACGGUUAAUACCCGUGACUACUGACGGUACCGGAAGAAGAAGCACCGGCUAACUACGUGCCAGCAGCCGCGGUAAUACGUAGGGUGCGAGCGUUAAUCGGAAUUACUGGGCGUAAAGCGUGCGCAGGUGGUUUUGUAAGUCAGAUGUGAAAGCCCCGGGCUCAACCUGGGAACU